AUCUCUGGAGAGUCUCAUCAAUGAGCGCCGAAGGUGUACGGCCGUGUAUACGGUUAAUCUCUCAGGCAAAAGGACAGAGCUU
rnacentral:ncRNA from 1 species